CCUGGCUCAGAUUGAACGCUGGCGGCAGGCUUAACACAUGCAAGUCGAGCGGGGGAAGGUAGCUUGCUACUGGACCUAGCGGCGGACGGGUGAGUAAUGCUUAGGAAUCUGCCUAUUAGUGGGGGACAACAUCUCGAAAGGGAUGCUAAUACCGCAUACGUCCUACGGGAGAAAGCAGGGGAUCUUCGGACCUUGCGCUAAUAGAUGAGCCUAAGUCGGAUUAGCUAGUUGGUGGGGUAAAGGCCUACCAAGGCGACGAUCUGUAGCGGGUCUGAGAGGAUGAUCCGCCACACUGGGACUGAGACACGGCCCAGACUCCUACGGGAGGCAGCAGUGGGGAAUAUUGGACAAUGGGGGGAACCCUGAUCCAGCCAUGCCGCGUGUGUGAAGAAGGCCUUAUGGUUGUAAAGCACUUUAAGCGAGGAGGAGGCUACUUUAGUUAAUACCUAGAGAUAGUGGACGUUACUCGCAGAAUAAGCACCGGCUAACUCUGUGCCAGCAGCCGCGGUAAUACAGAGGGUGCGAGCGUUAAUCGGAUUUACUGGGCGUAAAGCGUGCGUAGGCGGCUUAUUAAGUCGGAUGUGAAAUCCCCGAGCUUAACUUGGGAAUUGCAUUCGAUACUGGUGAGCUAGAGUAUGGGAGAGGAUGGUAGAAUUCCAGGUGUAGCGGUGAAAUGCGUAGAGAUCUGGAGGAAUACCGAUGGCGAAGGCAGCCAUCUGGCCUAAUACUGACGCUGAGGUACGAAAGCAUGGGGAGCAAACAGGAUUAGAUACCCUGGUAGUCCAUGCCGUAAACGAUGUCUACUAGCCGUUGGGGCCUUUGAGGCUUUAGUGGCGCAGCUAACGCGAUAAGUAGACCGCCUGGGGAGUACGGUCGCAAGACUAAAACUCAAAUGAAUUGACGGGGGCCCGCACAAGCGGUGGAGCAUGUGGUUUAAUUCGAUGCAACGCGAAGAACCUUACCUGGCCUUGACAUACUAGAAAC
rnacentral:rRNA from 1 species